rnacentral:misc_RNA from 1 species
GUGAGUCAUCGAAUCUUUGAACGCACAUUGCGCCUCCUGGUAUUCCGGGAGGCACGCCUGUCCGAGCGCCAUUACACCCCCCAAGCCUUGCUUGAUGUUGGGCCAUGACAUGCAGUCAGGCCCCAAACCUUUAGGCGCCCCCUACUGGCCGCGAGCGUAGCAAGAAUUUAUUUUCCCUCGCUCCGCGUGUCCUGUAGACGGGUCGCCCAUCGACCCACAAACUUUUACAAGGUUUGGCCUCGGAUCAGGCGGGGAUACCCGCUGAACUUAAGCAUAUCAAUAAGCGGAGGA